UUUCUUCCAAAUUUGUCCCUGUAUUUCAAUUCAUUUUACUGAUAUCUGCUGUCAUGUGUGUGUUUAAUGAAUUUUGUGUAAAAUCACUUUUUCUUUACGGGAAUGUUCCCGCAAACUAUGUCGGUUCUGCAAAAUAUUUUAAUUUUAUUUUCUUUUUCAGUUCUUCUGGCCUUCACAUAAAUUCUACCAUUUUAUCUACAUAUUUUUUUAAUCUGUUUUAUUUACUUAUUGGAUAUACUUUCUUUUACUUUUGGAUAUGGUUUUAUCGCAUGGCUGACGAAGCAGUCACCGCUUGGAUUGUUUGGCAUUUGUUAAUCUCGGAUUUGUAGAAAUUGGAUAGUCUUUCACGUUCUCUGCACGUGUACCACCGGUUCCACCGUUCGCAGUAUUAUUAUCAGAUUCGAAAAAGUUAAAUAAUUUUUUUUUUUUUUUGUUCUUAUCCUUCCGUUCUGCUGAUUUCACCCUUUCUCGAUUCAUAUAAAAGCAAAACUCAUUUUUACUUUCUACUCCAUUUCCUGUUACGUCCUACACCUUCAAAAUCAAAAUCCUCUCACUCACAUCGCACAAACUUUCAGUGGUUCAGUGUUGAUAGAUUAGUUCCUCGUUUUGAAGUUCCAAAGAUAAGUAGGUUUGCUGCUUGUUCUUACUUUACUAUCCCUUGUUACUGUUGUUGUCAAUUUCUUCUAUUUUCAUUCUACUUUCUGGUAUGUC